rnacentral:rRNA from 1 species
ACGGAAGGCAGCAGUGGGGAAUAUUGCACAAUGGGGGAAACCCUGAUGCAGCGACGCCGCGUGAGUGAAGAAGUAUUUCGGUAUGUAAAGCUCUAUCAGCAGGAAAGAAAAUGACGGUACCUGACUAAGAAGCCCCGGCUAACUACGUGCCAGCAGCCGCGGUAAUACGUAGGGGGCAAGCGUUAUCCGGAUUUACUGGGUGUAAAGGGAGCGUAGACGGCUUUGCAAGUCUGAAGUGAAAGCCCGGGGCUCAACCCCGGAACUGCUUUGGAAACUGUAGAGCUAGAGUGCAGGAGAGGUAAGUGGAAUUCCUAGUGUAGCGGUGAAAUGCGUAGAUAUUAGGAGGAACACCAGUGGCGAAGGCGGCUUGCUGGACUGUAACUGACGUUGAGGCUCGAAGGCGUGGGGAGCAAACAGGAUUAGAUACCCUGGUA